GGCUGACUGACUUGUUUAACUAAGGGUUUUUCUCUCAGCAGGGGACCAUUCUUGAGCAUGUACAGCUUCCCUGUAACAGGGAAUUCACUGGAUAAAAUUGUAUGCUGUCUUGUCCAAUUAUAAAACAAUCAGCGCUGAGAAUACCUUACUGGCUAAAAAACAACUGUCGUAAUUUCCAUCUCAGAGGCUUCAAACAUGACACACCUAUAAACGUAAUAUAAAGGACGGUGACUUUUGUGAAUGCUUUCAAAGGAAACGCAGACGGGAAAUCAAAUCCACUGCAGCUCCUACCACAUUAGCAUGGGUGGCUUCCACGUCUUGGCUAUUGUGAGUGGUGCUGUGAUGGACAUAGGAGUGGAUAAACAUCAUAUGUCUCUUCAUGGAGUUGACAUAUUCUUAAAGGUAAAACACCAAACAAAAUAAAUACAGUUUGUGUUCAUUUGCAUUAUACUUUCAGAAAUUUUUCAUUUUUUUUUUAUCCUGAGAAGGUUUUUUCUCAUAUUUUAGUUUAAAAUUUUUCUGUCUCUUCUGUAUAUACUCCAGUGACUAAAAAGCAGAAUAGACAAACACCAUAUGAUAUCUUAUAUAUGUGGAAUAUAAAAAAUGAUACAAAUGAACUUAUUUACAAAAUAGAAGCAGACUCACUGAUUUAUGG
rnacentral:lncRNA from 9 species